rnacentral:lncRNA from 1 species
GGGUUUUACUAUAGAACCCUAUGGGAUUUUUUUUUCUAAAAUUUUCAAAUGAAUAUAACUUGAAAACUAUAAGUGAUAGAUACAUGUAGUCUUCAGAAAUGAUUAAAGGACAAUAAAACAAAUCACAUGAAAUAUAGGGGUAGUCCCUGGGGGUCAUCCCCACCCCCUUCAAUUUGAGAAUAUGCUUUUAUCUUGUAAACGGUCCAGAUCCCCACCCCUAAACCUCAUAUAUUCUUGAAUGGGACAAUAAAACAAAUCAAAUGAAAUUAAAGGGAAGUCCCCGGGGGUUCUCCCCACCCCGUUCAAUUUGAAAAUGUGCUAUUAUCUUGUAAACGGUCCAGAUCCCCACCCCUUAACCAUAUAUAUUCUUGUAGGGGACAAUACAACAAAUGAAAUGAAACAAAAGGGAAGUCCCUAGGGGGUCACCCCUCCCCCUCUAGUUUGAAAACUUGUAAACGGUCCAGAUCCCCACCCCUAAACCUCAUAUAUUCUUGAAUGGGACAAUAAAACAAAUCAAAUGAAAUUAAAGGGAAGUCCCCGGGGGUCCUCCCCACCCUGUUCAAUUUGAAAAUGUGCUAUUAUCUUGUAAACGGUCCAGAUCCCCACCCCUAAACCAUAUAUAUUCUUGUAGGGGACAAUAAAACAAAUGAAAUGAAAUAAAAGGGAAGUCCCUAGGGGGUCACCCCACCCCCUCUUGUUUGAACUUGUAAACGGUCAACAUCCCCACCCCUUAACCAUAUAUAUUCUUGUAUGGGACAAUAAAACUAAUCAAAUGAAAUUAAAUGGAAGUUCCUUGGUGUCACCCCCACCCCGUUCGAUUUGAGAAUGUACUAUUAUCUUGUAAACGGUCCAGAUCCCACCCCUAAACCAUAUAUAUUCUUGUAGGGGACAAUAAAACAAAUGAAAAUGAAAUAAAAGGGAAGUCCUGAGGGGGUCACCCCACCCCCUCUUGUUUGAAAACUUGUAAACGGUCAACAUCCCCACCCCUAAACCAUAUAUAUUCUUGUAGGGGACAAUAAAACAAAUGAAAUGAUAUAAAAGGGAAGUCCCGAGGGGGUCACCCCACCCCCUCUUGUUUGAAAACUUGUAAAUGGUCAACAUCCCCACCCC